rnacentral:rRNA from 1 species
CCUACGGGUGACAGCAGUGAGGAAUAUUGGUCAAUGGACGAGAGUCUGAACCAGCCAAGUAGCGUGAAGGAUGACUGCCCUAUGGGUUGUAAACUUCUUUUAUAUGGGAAUAAAAUGUUCCACGUGUGGGAUUUUGUAUGUACCAUAUGAAUAAGGAUCGGCUAACUCCGUGCCAGCAGCCGCGGUAAUACGGAGGAUCCGAGCGUUAUCCGGAUUUAUUGGGUUUAAAGGGAGCGUAGGUGGAUUGUUAAGUCAGUUGUGAAAGUUUGCGGCUCAACCGUAAAAUUGCAGUGGAAACUGGCAGUCUUGAGUACAGUAGAGGUGGGCGGAAUUCGUGGUGUAGCGGUGAAAUGCUUAGAUAUCACGAAGAACUCCGAUUGCGAAGGCAGUUCACUGGACUGCAACUGACACUGAGGCUCGAAAGUGUGGGUAUCAAACAGGAUUAGAUACCCUGGUAGUC